rnacentral:rRNA from 1 species
UCAGGAUGAACGCUAGCUACAGGCUUAACACAUGCAAGUCGUGGGGCAGCAUGGAGGUUGCUUGCAAUCUCUGAUGGCGACCGGCGCACGGGUGAGUAACGCGUAUCCAACCUGGCCCUUAGUAGGGGAUAGCCCGGCGAAAGUCGGAUUAAUACCCUAUGUUCUUCAUGGAUGGCAUCUGAUAGUGAAGCAAAGGCUUGCCGCUAAGGGAUGGGGAUGCGUCUGAUUAGCUUGUCGGCGGGUAACGGCCACCGAGGCUACGAUCAGUAGGGGUUCUGAGAGGAAGGUCCCCCACAUUGGUACUGAGACACGGACCAAACUCCUACGGGAGGCAGCAGUGAGGAAUAUUGGUCAAUGGGCGAGAGCCUGAACCAGCCAAGUAGCGUGCCAGGACGACUGCCCUAUGGGUUGUAAACUGCUUUUAUGCGGGAAUAAAGUCAGGUACGUGUACCUGUUUGUAUGUACCGCAUGAAUAAGGACCGGCUAAUUCCGUGCCAGCAGCGGC